rnacentral:rRNA from 2 species
CGACCGAAGCUGCUUGCAGUGGACGUUGAUUGACGUGAGUGGCGGACGGGUGAGUAACACGUGGGUAACCUACCCUUAAGUGGGGGAUAACAUUUGGAAACAGAUGCUAAUACCGCAUAACCAUUCAGACCACCUGGUCAGGAUGUAAAAGACGGCCUUUGGCUGUCACUUUUGGACGGACCCGCGGCGUAUUAGUUAGUUGGUAAGGUAACGGCUUACCAAGACGAUGAUACGUAGCCGACCUGAGAGGGUAAUCGGCCACAUUGGGACUGAGACACGGCCCAAACUCCUACGGGAGGCAGCAGUAGGGAAUCUUCCACAAUGGACGCAAGUCUGAUGGAGCAACGCCGCGUGAGUGAAGAAGGUUUUAGGAUCGUAAAACUCUGUUGUUGGAGAAGAACAGGGACUAGAGUAACUGUUAGUCCUUUGACGGUAUCCAACCAGAAAGCCACGGCUAACUACGUGCCAGCAGCCGCGGUAAUACGUAGGUGGCAAGCGUUGUCCGGAUUUAUUGGGCGUAAAGCGAGCGCAGGCGGUUUUUUAAGUCUGAUGUGAAAGCCUUCGGCUUACCCGAAGAAGUGCAUUAGAAACUGAGAAACUUGAGUGCAGAAGAGGAAAGUGGAACUCCUGGUGUAGCGGUGAAAUGCGUAGAUAUAUGGAAGAACACCAGUGGCGAAGGCGGCUUUCUGGUCUGUAACUGACGCUGAGGCUCGAAAGUAUGGGGAGCGAACAGGAUUAGAUACCCUGGUAGUCCAUACCGUAAACGAUGAAUGCUAAGUGUUGGAGGGUUUCCGCCCUUCAGUGCUGCAGCUAACGCAUUAAGCAUUCCGCCUGGGGAGUACGACCGCAAAGGUUGAAACUCAAAGGAAUUGACGGGGGCCCGCACAAGCGGUGGAGCAUGUGGUUUAAUUCGAAGCAACGCGAAGAACCUUACCAGGUCUUGACAUCCUUUGACCACUGUAGAGAUACAGCUUUCCCUUCGGGGACAAAGUGACAGGUGGUGCAUGGUUGUCGUCAGCUCGUGUCGUGAGAUGUUGGGUUAAGUCCCGCAACGAGCGCAACCCUUAUGAUUAGUUGCCAGCAUUCAGUUGGGCACUCUAGUCAGACUGCCGGUGACAAACCGGAGGAAGGUGGGGAUGACGUCAAAUCAGCAUGCCCCUUAUGACCUGGGCUACACACGUGCUACAAUGGUCGGUACAACGAGUUGCGAACCCGCGAGGGUAAGCUAAUCUCUUAAAGCCGAUCUCAGUUCGGAUUGUAGGCUGCAACUCGCCUACAUGAAGCCGGAAUCGCUAGUAAUCGCGGAUCAGCACGCCGCGGUGAAUACGUUCCCGGGCCUUGUACACACCGCCCGUCACACCAUGAGAGUUUGUAACACCCGAAGUCGGUGGGGUAACCCUUUUAGGGAACUAGCCGCCUAAGG